UCAAAGCUAACGCAUUAAGUAGACCGCCUGGGGAGUACGGCCGCAAGGUUAAAACUCAAAUGAAUUGACGGGGGCCCGCACAAGCGGUGGAGCAUGUGGUUUAAUUCGAUGCAACGCGAAGAACCUUACCUACACUUGACAUACAGAGAACUUACCAGAGAUGGUUUGGUGCCUUCGGGAACUCUGAUACAGGUGCUGCAUGGCUGUCGUCAGCUCGUGUUGUGAGAUGUUGGGUUAAGUCCCGCAACGAGCGCAACCCCUAUCCUUAGUUG
rnacentral:rRNA from 1 species